CCUAACCAAAGUCGUCUCCGGCUCCACCUCAACCGCAAACUCAUUACCGGAAUUUCAUCUCCCGGAUUCCACCAUCGGAAGCAGCAGCAGCAUGGAGCGAAUUCCACCAACGAACAUGGAAACCUGCCGCGAAUGCAACAUAGCAGGAUGUUUAGGAUGCAAUUUCUUCUCUCAAGAGAACAAGAAAAAACAAAUAAGAGCUAAAAAGAAGUAUAGAGGAGUGAGACAGAGACCAUGGGGAAAAUGGGCUGCUGAGAUUCGUGACCCGAGACGUGCUGUUCGUGUUUGGCUCGGAACCUUUACCACGGCGGAGGAAGCUGCCAGAGCUUAUGACAAUGCCGCCAUCGAGUUUCGUGGGCCGAGGGCAAAGCUCAAUUUUCCACUUGUUGAUGAAUCCCUUAAGCAUGUUGAGGAACCAGAAGUGAUCGUUCAUUCUAAGCAUGUAACAAAGGAUGAGAAUAUGAAUCAAGAAAUGCAAAUUGAAACAAUGACGGGGUUUGAGAAUAAUAAGGAUUGUGAUUUUUUGGAUAGCAUUGGUGAACCUGAUUUUCAACAAUUUAUGAAGUUUAUGGAAUUUUCUGGAGAUUCUUCUGGUUCUAGGACAGGGAAUCCUUUUAAUUAGUUCAUGAAUUCAACAACAAAUGAACAGUGAUUUUUUUUAGCAUGUUUAACUAGUGGUAGACUGAGAUUAAGUGUAUUGAUUAGCUUUGCUGUGCAAUGUGCAUAAUCUCUCUUCUACGAGAUUUUUUUUUAGGGAGGAAGUUGCUUUCUGCAAGUGCAAAUAGUGAUUUCAAUGUUUGAUUUUGAAGAAGAAUCCGCUUUGUAGAAUUGCUGUACUCCCUAAAAGUGUUUUUUUUUUAACGAGAAUUUAAUGUUUUGAGAGAAUUUAAAUCCUUGAAUAAUAAUAAUUUGAAUUUUUUUGAAAAUGAUGUAAAUCCUUGGAGAAGAAUUUGCCUUUGUAGAAAUGUUGUUCUCGUGAACUUAACCCGGUCAGUAUAAACAAUCUUCGGGAUUCAAACUCUAACCAUCACAAAAAAACGUUGUUCUCCCUAGGUGUUGCUUUGUUUCCAUUAUAAAUACUCUUCUUCAUAUUAGAACAACAAAAACCAUAAAACAUCAAAAUUAAUACAAUCAUUAUUAAUUAUUUUAAUUUUUUUAUAUAUUUUACAAACAUAUUUUUGUGAGAAAUUGUGAUUCAUUAAAUACAAUUACUAAUACUAAAAAGAUAAAUAUUAAAUGACUUUAAAUUUAAUACAUUAAAUAUAUAUUCGGUUUCAAUUACUGCAUUUUUUUUUAAUACGGAUAGGAAUGUGAAGUACUCCCUUCGUCCUACAUUUUGGGAGAAAGAGAGAGAAACAAUGGGUGUGAAUGAAAAAAUACUUUAAAGGGAAUUCAUUUAACGACAAUUAAAAAAAAGAGAAGUGGUAUUUUUUGUCCAAAAUUAAGGUGGAUUUAUCUUUAAAAAAAAUAAAUUAAAGUGGGUAUAUGGUCUUGUGAUAUUUUCAUUUCGGCUUGCAUGAAUGAAUGGUUCACAUUUCACAAGCAUGAGUAAAUUAUACGUAAAUUCCCGAACACCAAAACAGAAAUGUCAAAGUCUAAAAGAUACAGUUGUAGAAUGAAAUAGUAGUCAAGUAAACAACAAAUGUGAACGCACCGUCUUUAAGUGAACUCUCCUUUCGCUUUCUUCCCCUGGCUGGAACACCUGAAUCCUCAAUUGUUCUCUAUUGUGGGAACCAACCAACCCCACCAAAUCCUGUCUGGCAUUUUAAAAAAAAAAGAAAAAAUCACGUGAUUAAUUUAAUAAAUCCAACUUACUAUUAUCCAUUCAAAGACCAAUAGUGAACCGUGUGUGGGAACGGUGUACACAGCUGGCUCUUAAGUCUUACCUGCCAUGUCACCCCCUAAACCGUAUAUAAACCAACUCAAAUCUCUGACUUUCCCUUCAACUUCAAAAUCUUCUAAACCUUCAAAAACUCAGUUUCCAUACAUGAACUACGCCUUCUCCACUACCACCCUCACCUCCGAUCAAGAACUCUCAGUCAUCGUCGCUGCCCUAACCAACGUAGUCUCCGGUUCCACCUCCACCGUCGGCUUAGAUCGAAUAGUUCAACCGGUGAACAUAGAAACCUGUCGGGAAUGCAACAUAGCAGGAUGUUUAGGAUGCAAUUUCUUCCCUGAAGAGAAAAAACAAAAACAAAAACAAAAACAAAAGAGAGCUAAGAAUAAUAAGUACAGAGGAGUGAGGCAGAGACCAUGGGGAAAAUGGGCUGCUGAGAUUCGUGACCCGAGACGUGCGGUUCGUGUUUGGCUUGGAACCUUUACCACGGCGGAGGAAGCUGCUAGAGCUUACGACAAUGCCGCUAUCGAGUUCCGCGGGCCGAGAGCCAAGCUUAAUUUUCCACUUGUUGAUGAAUCUCUUAAGCGUACUGUUGAGGAUCCAGAAUUGGUUGUUCAUGUAAAGGAU
rnacentral:lncRNA from 1 species